rnacentral:rRNA from 1 species
CCUACGGGGGGCAGCAGUGGGGAAUAUUGCACAAUGGGGGAAACCCUGAUGCAGCGACGCCGCGUGAGUGAAGAAGUAUUUCGGUACGUAAAGCUCUAUCAGCAGGGAAGAAAAUGACGGUACCUGACUAAGAAGCCCCGGCUAACUACGUGCCAGCAGCCGCGGUAAUACGUAGGGGGCAAGCGUUAUCCGGAUUUACUGGGUGUAAAGGGAGCGUAGACGGCAGCGCAAGUCUGGAGUGAAAUCCCAUGGCUUAACCAUGGAACUGCUUUGGAAACUGUGCAGCUAGAGUGCAGGAGAGGUAAGCGGAAUGCCUAGUGUAGCGGUGAAAUGCGUAGAUAUUAGGAGGAACACCAGUGGCGAAGGCGGCUUACUGGACUGUAACUGACGUUGAGGCUCGAAAGCGUGGGGAGCAAACAGGAUUAGAUACCCCGGUAGUC